GUCCGUGUAGCGCAAUGGAUAGCGCGUUGGACUUCUAAUUCAAAGAUCGUCGCUUCGAAUACUAUCUGGGAUG